GAUAAUAACAUGAUUGCUGCUGGAAUGGAAGAUUCUAGUAUUUUGAUCUAUAAUAUUCGGAUUGAUGAGAUAUUUUGAAGGUAAAUGGAUGUAUUCAGGAACUCCAACUAAACAGUUCAGGUAUUGGAGAUGAGGGUGCAAGGGUUAUUGCAGAUAUGCUGAAAGAAAAUCAAACUUUACGUGUACUGGAACUUAACAAUAAUAUGAUUGAAUAUUCUGGUUUUGCAAGUCUUGCUGGAGCACUAGUUGAGAAUAAGGCAAUUCGAUCUAUACAUCUCAAGCUAAUAAGACUUACACACACUUAGAUUUUCUAUCCAUGCAGUUCUUUCUUGCAGAUUUAAUUUCUUCAUCAGAUCUGUUGGCUUUCCAGUAUUUAUUGAUUGUACUACUUCUCAGCAAUUAUGUAAAACUAUAUUUCUUCUUGUUUAGGAAAAAUAACACUUCUAGAUAUUGGCAACAAUGAGAUUGGUCCCAAAGGCGCCUUUAGCAUCGCUGAGUUUGUUAAGAAAACUAAGU